rnacentral:rRNA from 1 species
AUGUUGGCAAGGGCGAUGGCCGAGGAAGCCAGCGUGCCCUUCUUUGCGUGCAGCGGCAGCGAAUUCAACGACGACUAUGUGUUCGUUGGGGCAAAAAGAGUGAGGGCGCUCUUCGCCGCGGCGAAGAAGCGAUCUCCUUGCAUAGUGUUCAUCGAUGAGAUCGACGCCAUCGCUGGGAGUGGGAGCAGGUGCUCAUAUGGUUCAGAGUCGCAGAUGCAUACCCUGAACCAGCUGCUAGUUGAGCUAGAUGGCUUCGAGCAGAAUGACGGGGUCAUCGUGGUCGCGGCGACCAACAUCCCCGAGUCGUCACUGGAUAAGGCCCUUGUUAGGUCUGGGCGUUUUGACCGUCACGUUCAGAUUCCUUAUCCAAAUGCUAAGGGCCGAAGGCAGAUCCUUGAGGCCCAUAUGUCAAAGGUCUUGAAAGCCAAGGAUGUUGAUCUUCAGACCAUCGCCAAGGAGACGUCUGGAUUCACAGGUGCAGACCUCGCAAAUCUGGUGAACGAAGCCGCUCUCAAGGCUGCUAAGGACGGGGCAGAAGCUGUCACGACACAACACCUCGAGUAUGCUGCCAUGAAAAGGAUCAUCAUGGGCAGCAAGAACAAAACGGUGGCGAUGCCUGAGAGCUGCAGGAAGAUGGUCGCGUACCACGAGGGAGGGCAUGCUGUUGUUGCUAUCCACACGGACAGCGCUGCUCCUGUCGAAAAGGCUACCAUUGUUCCCGGUCCCGGGGGGGAUAAUCUUGGCAUGGUGACGCAGCUGCCAGAGGAGGACGAUAAGUUUUUCUUCUCAAAGGAGAAGAUACUGGCACAACUGGAUGUCCUCAUGGGAGGCCGGGCUGCCGAGGAGGUUAUCUUUGGCGAGAGCAAGGUGAGCUCCCUCGCCUUGUCUGACCUAAGAAAGGCGACUAAGCUGGCGACGGAGAUGGUCGCCAGGUAUGGUAUGAGCAAGCGGGUCGGCCCUGUUUCGUAUGACAAUGACGACGAUGACGACGGUUGGAAUGCCAAGACCAUGAUCUGGCAACCGAAGUACCUGGUUAAUGAGGAGGUGAGAGAAUUGCUAGGCAAAGCUUACAAUAACGCAAAGACGAUCCUCACGGCACAUAGUAGGGAGCUUCAUGCGCUGGCCAACGUCCUCCUGAAGGACCAAACUCUCACUGGAGACCAGAUCACGGCCCUCCUGAAGCACGAGACUCUCGCCGGAGGCCAGGCCGCCAAACAAGUAUUGCCUGCAGAGUCUGCAAAAUGA